UACGGAGGAUCCGAGCGUUAUCCGGAUUUAUUGGGUUUAAAGGGUGCGCAGGCGGGGGAUUAAGUCGGCGGUGAAAUUUUGCAGCUCAACUGUAAAAGUGCCUUCGAAACUGGUUUCCUUGAGUGUAGAUGAAGUAGGCGGAAUUUGUGGUGUAGCGGUGAAAUGCACAGAUAUCACGAGGAACUCCGAUUGCGCAGGCAGCUUACUAAACUACUACUGACGCUCAGGCACGAAGGCGUGGGGAUCAAACAGGAUUAGAUACCCCGGUAGUCCCUGA
rnacentral:rRNA from 1 species